GUACAAUGUUUAUGUGGAGUGAUAAGUUUAUGUGGAAAUGUGGAAGGGAAAGGAUGAAGCUGACCAUUUGUUAGAGGUGAACACUGAUCGUUGUGACUCAGGAUACAAAGUGAACAUUGGACAAUUGCAACAUUGGCGGCCUCUUCAUAACUGCAACGUCAUCAGCCCCACUAGAUAUCCCUACCAGGUUUCUCUCGGCACACCAUGGCGUCCGAUGAUCUUCCACAGCUGAAUGCAUUGUGAUGAAUAAUGUCCUGAUCAUUUUUUAUCUUUGGAGUAUUCGAAAAGUGUUGAGCUAUCCUAAAAGUUAGGCAUUUUUCGAGUAAACACAUGUAGGGUGUCAAUGGCCGACUGAAAACAUUAAUACGGAGCAACGAACUCUGAAG